CCCUCUAGUUGGCCCUGGGGUUGAGUCCUGACCAGGUGUCUCUGCUGUCCAGGGAGUCUGGGCCACAACUCUGGCAGCCUGGGGACCUGCCUCAAGAAGGAUGGCAGUGCUGGAUGCCUGAGUGCCCUCCUGGUCUCCCACCCCCUGAACGCCCAUGGUCGGGGAACAUAACCUCGUCUCUGCGGGCGAGGCACACUCUGCCUGUGGGGCCAGUGUGGAGAAGCUGGUCAGGAACUGGAGGCCUGAAACUCGGGUCAGGAAAACCCCAUGUCUGUCCCUGGGUGUGCAUCAGACCAGGAAGAGGGACAAAGGCCACAGCAGCCCCGGGGAGAUGCCAGUGGGACCCCACAGUGACUUCACAGCGGAG
rnacentral:lncRNA from 10 species